rnacentral:rRNA from 1 species
CUGUUUCGCUGACGAGUGGCGGACGGGUGAGUAAUGUCGUAGGGAAACUGCCUGAUGGAGGGGGAUAACUACUAGGAAACGGUAGCUAAUACCGCAUAACGUCGCAAGACCAAAGGAGGGGGACCCUCGGGCCUCUUGCCAUCGGAUGUCGCCCAGAGUGGGAUUAGCUUGUUGGUGGGGUAACGGCUCACCAAGGCGACGAUCCCUAGCUGGUCUGAGAGGAUGACCAGCCACACUGGAACUGAGACACGGUCCAGACUCCUACGGGAGGCAGCAGUGGGGAAUAUUGCACAAUGGGCGCAAGCCUGAUGCAGCCAUGCCGCGUGUAUGAAGAAGGCCUUCGGUUGUAAAGUACUUUCAGCGGGGAGGAAGGGAGUAAAGUUAAUACCUUUGCUCAUUGACGUUACCCGCAGAAGAAGCACCGGCUAACUCCGUG